AUGCUGAGUUUAAAGCCAACAAUUGUUGUUUUUUGGAUCUAUUAUUGUUUGAUACAAGUCUCAGGAACGGAUAUCAAAAACAUUACCUGUCAUGACAUAAAGACCAACAAUGGAUACAAGUAUACACAUAACUGUGUUGACAAAGAGAUAUCUGUCAUCAAUUUAGCGGACAAUAUAGUCAUUGCUAAUAUUGACAGAAAUGAGCAACAGAAGUUGGACUAUGUAAAAGAAAUUAACGAAACACACAUUAUAUUGAAGACGUGCCUCUCAAUCAAAGUGGAAUGCUCGAGUAAUGGCGUCAGCGGAUAUACGUCAAAGACAACCAUUUUUCGGGUGUCUAAAACUAAAGAAAGGGAGGGCAAUUCUACGAGCACAGAUGUGUUACCAUGGAUCAUUGGCAUUUUAGUUACAAUCCUGAUCAUCAUACUUUCCAUGUGUUGCAUCUGUUGCAUCUAUUGUUGGUGGAAAAAAUCAAAGAAGCAGAAUUUGCCGCUAACCUUUAGUGGUUUUAUGACGUAUCUACGAACUGGCUUUUGCUUCCGAACACGUUCUUUGCCUGAGAGUGGAAGCAACCAUUCGCUGGGAUCUUACUCUAGGCGUGAAGUCCAAGGGGUCUCAGCAGAUUUGGAAGAAACUGGACAGAAUGGAGGGAUCAGAACUCCACGUGAACAUGGUGAAAAUGAUCCGGAGCACGUUAACAGACCCGAAAGUGUGCAAAUUCACAGAUCUUACUCUGGGUGUGAAGUCCAAGUGGUCUCAGCAGAUUUGGAAGAAACUGGACAGAAUGGAGAGAUCGGAACUCCACGUGAACAUGGUGAAAAUGAUCCGGAGCACGUUAACAGACCCGAAAGUGUGCAAAUUCACAGAUCUUACUCUGGGCGUGAAGUCCAAGUGGUCUCAGCAGAUUUGGAAGAAACUGGACAGAAUGGAGAGAUCAGUAUUGAUUUCCAGUCUGAUGGCAACACAGCUCGACCCCGUUGUCUGGAGUCCAGCUUAAGCAAUAAGCACAUGCUGCCAACUGAAAAGGACUUGGACUUGGAUGAUGAGGAAGAGCAACAGGCUGAAAGGCGAUUGCUGCUGUCGGAUCAGGGAGGUGCCAUAUCAUGUGGAACGAUGGCAUUGGUCUCCAACCCUCCCUCUGAUACUGAUGUGCCCAAACGGGCAUCCACAGCAGCCGCUUGACGUGGAGGCAACACACUACAUACAGUACCUACAAGUUAUAUAUUAUAUAGAUACAUACAAUGAAUAACAGAUUAUAUAUAGCAUAUAAAUAUUAUUAUAAAUAUUUACAUGAAUACAUGUAAAACAUUAUAUCAUUAAUAAAUAAGCUGUAUGUGGGGUUUUAGAUGACA
rnacentral:lncRNA from 1 species